rnacentral:rRNA from 1 species
GACAGAGGGUGCAAACGUUGUUCGGAAUUACUGGGCGUAAAGCGAGUGUAGGCGGUUUUCUAAGUCAGGUGUGAAAGCCCCGGGCUCAACCCGGGAAGUGCACUUGAAACUGGAAGGCUAGAGUAUCGGAGAGGUUGGUGGAAUCUCGGUGUAGAGGUGAAAUUCGUAGAUAUCGAGAGGAACACCGGUGGCGAAGGCGGCCAACUGGACGAAUACUGACGCUGAGACUCGAAAGCGUGGGGAGCGAACAGG